rnacentral:rRNA from 1 species
UUACGCGUAUGCAACCUACCCAUAACUGGGGCAUAGCUUCCGGAAACGGAAAUUAAUACCCCAUAGUAUUAUAACAUCGCAUGAUAUAAUAAUUAAAGUUCCGACGGUUAUGGAUGGGCAUGCGUGCCAUUAGCUAGUUGGGGAGGUAACGGCUCACCAAGGCUAUGAUGGCUAGGGGGUCUUAAAGGAUGGUCCCCCACACUGGUACUGAGACACGGACCAGACUCCUACGGGAGGCAGCAGUGAGGAAUAUUGGUCAAUGGGCGCAAGCCUGAACCAGCCAUGCCGCGUGCAGGAAGACGGCCCUAUGGGUUUUAAACUGCUUUUAUAUGGGAAGAAAACGUUUUACGUGUAGGGCAUUGACGGUACCAUAAGAAUAAGCAUCGGCUAACUCCGUGCCAGCAGCCGCGGUAAUACGGAGGAUGCAAGCGUUAUCCGGAUUUAUUAGGUUUAAAGGGGGUGUAGGCGGGACUCUAAGUCAGUGGGGAAAUCUUUCGGCUCAACCGGAAAACUGCCAUUGAUACUGGAGUUUUUGAGUAUAGUUGAGGUAGGCGGAAUGUGUAAUGUAGCGGGGAAAUGCUUAGAUAUUACACAGAACACCGAUUGCGAAGGCAGCUUACUAAGCUAUUACUGACGCUGAUGCACGAAAGCGUGGGUAGCGAACAGGAUUAGAUACCCUGGUAGUCCACGCCGUAAACGAUGAUUACUCGUUUUUGGCGAUAUAUUUUCAGCGACUGAGCG